rnacentral:rRNA from 1 species
CAGGCUUAACACAUGCAAGUCGAGGGGCAGCAUGGUCUUAGCUUGCUAAGGCCGAUGGCGACCGGCGCACGGGUGAGUAACGCGUAUCCAACCUGCCUUACACUCUUGGACAGCCUUCUGAAAGGGAGAUUAAUACAAGAUGUUAUCAUGAGUAAGCAUUUUCGCAUGAUUAAAGGUUUACCGGUGUAAGAUGGGGAUGCGUUCCAUUAGAUAGUAGGCGGGGUAACGGCCCACCUAGUCUUCGAUGGAUAGGGGUUCUGAGAGGAAGGUCCCCCACAUUGGAACUGAGACACGGUCCAAACUCCUACGGGAGGCAGCAGUGAGGAAUAUUGGUCAAUGGACGAGAGUCUGAACCAGCCAAGUAGCGUGAAGGAUGAAGGUUCUAUGGAUUGUAAACUUCUUUUAUACGGGAAUAAACGAAUCCACGCGUGGAUUUUUGCAUGUACCGUAUGAAUAAGGAUCGGCUAACUCCGUGCCAGCAGCCGCGGUAAUACGGAGGAUCCGAGCGUUAUCCGGAUUUAUUGGGUUUAAAGGGAGCGUAGAUGGGUUGUUAAGUCAGUUGUGAAAGUUUGCGGCUCAACCGUAAAAUUGCAAUUGAUACUGGCAGUCUUGAGUACAGUUGAGGUAGGCGGAAUUCGUGGUGUAGCGGUGAAAUGCUUAGAUAUCACGAAGAACUCCGAUUGCGAAGGCAGCUUACUAACCUGUAACUGACAUUGAUGCUCGAAAGUGUGGGUAUCAAACAGGAUUAGAUACCCUGGUAGUCCACACGGUAAACGAUGAAUACUCGCUGUAGGCGAUAUACAGUCUGCGGCCAAGCGAAAGCAUUAAGUAUUCCACCUGGGGAGUACGCCGGCAACGGUGAAACUCAAAGGAAUUGACGGGGGCCCGCACAAGCGGAGGAACAUGUGGUUUAAUUCGAUGAUACGCGAGGAACCUUACCCGGGCUUAAAUUGCAACCGAAUAUGGCGGAAACGCUAUAGCUAGCAAUAGCGGUUGUGAAGGUGCUGCAUGGUUGUCGUCAGCUCGUGCCGUGAGGUGUCGGCUUAAGUGCCAUAACGAGCGCAACCCUUGCCGAUAGUUACUAACAGGUCAUGCUGAGGACUCUGUCGGGACUGCCAUCGUAAGAUGUGAGGAAGGUGGGGAUGACGUCAAAUCAGCACGGCCCUUACGUCCGGGGCUACACACGUGUUACAAUGGGGGGUACAGAGGGCUGCUACCACGCAAGUGGAUGCCAAUCCCAAAAACCUCUCUCAGUUCGGAUUGAAGUCUGCAACCCGACUUCAUGAAGCUGGAUUCGCUAGUAAUCGCGCAUCAGCCACGGCGCGGUGAAUACGUUCCCGGGCCUUGUACACACCGCCCGUCAAGCCAUGGGAGCCGGGGGUACCUGAAGUGCGUAACCGCAAGGAGCGCCCUAGGGUAAAACUGGUGACUGGGGAUAAG